UGCUGGGAAAUUGCCAUUCUGGGAAGAAUGAAGUCACUUGGCCUUUAGGCUGGUACCUCAGAAUAUGCUCAAGGAAAGUACUAUCUAAUCAGAAGGAGACGGUAAAGAGUUCCUCAUAAGGUCAUUUAUGAAAGAGCCAUUGGAAGAAGGAGGAAAGGAAGAGUGACUAAUGGGGAUAUAUUCCUUUGAAAAGAGGUCUGGCCAGAGAGAAAAGGAGGAUAUAUAAGCUUGAAAUGUAUUGAGAGAGGAUUAUAUAUGAUUCUGGUGAAUUUCUGUCUUGUUAGAAGAUUUCAUCUGUGUAUAGGGCUGCUCUACCAGAAUUCAUAGAAUCAUUUGCAGAAGGAAUCUGAUGGUACAUGGCACUGGGCUCAUAAAUUUUUUUGGCCUGUAUAUAAGGCGGCACCACCAUUGUGACAGGUAUGUUUUUGACCAAUAAAAGCGAUGGAUUUGAUAUUUUGG